rnacentral:rRNA from 1 species
CCUACGGGGGGCAGCAGUGGGGAAUAUUGGACAAUGGGGGCAACCCUGAUCCAGCCAUGCCGCGUGUGUGAAGAAGGCCCUCGGGUUGUAAAGCACUUUCAGUGAGGAAGAACGCCUGGUGGUUAAUACCCAUCAGGAAAGACAUCACUCACAGAAGAAGCACCGGCUAACUCCGUGCCAGCAGCCGCGGUAAUACGGAGGGUGCGAGCGUUAAUCGGAAUUACUGGGCGUAAAGCGCGCGUAGGUGGCUUGAUAAGCCGGUUGUGAAAGCCCCGGGCUCAACCUGGGAACGGCAUCCGGAACUGUCAAGCUAGGGUGCAGGAGAGGAAGGUAGAAUUCCCGGUGUAGCGGUGAAAUGCGUAGAGAUCGGGAGGAAUAACAGUGGCGAAGGCGGCCUUCUGGACUGACACUGACACUGAGGUGCGAAAGCGUGGGUAGCAAACAGGAUUAGAUACCCCAGUAGUC